AUUCAGCUGACUAGUUCCAAAGAGGACGAAAUGCGCUUUCUGAAU
rnacentral:hammerhead_ribozyme from 1 species